rnacentral:rRNA from 1 species
UACGUAGGGUGCAAGCGUUGUCCGGAAUUAUUGGGCGUAAAGAGCUCGUAGGCGGCUUGUCACGUCUGCUGUGAAAACUCGGGGCUCAACCCCGAGCCUGCAGUGGAUACGGGCUAGCUAGAGUGCGGUAGGGGGAGACUGGGAAUUCCUGGUGUAGCGGGUGAAAUGCGUAGAGAUCGACUAGAACACCGGUGGCGAAGGCGGGUCUCUGGACAGUUCCUGACGCUCAGGCACGAAAGCCAGGGGAGCAAACGGG